rnacentral:rRNA from 1 species
UUUCCACGUGUCUUCUCAUAGCGGUCCGAUCGUUUUGCCGGUUCUGCCAGCUUGUUUAUUCAGACAGGCGGGAGCCGCUUUCUGAGCCAUGAUCGACUCUAGGGAGGCUUCUCUACGGCGUAGCUAAUACCGCAUACGCCCUACGGGGGAAAGCAGGGGAUCGCAAGACCUUGCACUAUUGGAGCGGCCGAUAUCGGAUUAGCUAGUUGGUGGGGUAACGGCUCACCAAGGCGACGAUCCGUAGCUGGUUUGAGAGGACGACCAGCCACACUGGGACUGAGACACGGCCCAGACUCCUACGGGAGGCAGCAGUGGGGAAUUUUGGACAAUGGGGGAAACCCUGAUCCAGCCAUCCCGCGUGUGCGAUGAAGGCCUUCGGGUUGUAAAGCACUUUUGGCAGGAAAGAAACGUCGCGGGUUAAUACCCCGGGGAACUGACGGUACCUGCAGAAUAAGCACCGGCUAACUACGUGCCAGCAGCCGCGGUAAUACGUAGGGUGCAAGCGUUAAUCUGGAAUUACUGGGCGUAAAGCGUGCGCGGGCGGAUUCGGAAAGAAAUGAUGUGAAAUCCCAGAGCUUAACUUUGGAACUGUCAUUUUUAACUACCGGAGCUAGAGUGUGUCAGAGGGAGGUGGCAAUUCCGCGAUAGUUAGCAGUUGAAAUGCGUAGAUAUGCGGAAGGAACACCGAAUGGCGAGAGGCAGCCUCCUGGGAUAACCACUGUACUGCUUCAUGCCACGAAAGCGUGGAGGAGCAAACAGGAUUGAGAAUACCCUGGUAGUCCAGGCCCUAAACGAUGUCAACUAGACAUGUUGGGCGUCGUAGCAGUGAAAUGCGUAGAUUAUGCGGAGGAACACCGAUGGCGAAGGCAGCCUCCUGGGAUAACACUGACGCUCCAUGCACGAAAGCGUGGGGAGCAAACAGGAUUAGAUAGCCCUGGUAGUCCACGCCCCUAAACGAUGUCAAUCUAGCUGUUGGGGCCUUCCGGGCCUUGGUAGACGCAGCUAACGCGUGAAGUUGACCGCCUGGGGAGUACGGUCGCAAGAUUAAAACUCAAAGGAAUUGACGGGGACCCCGCACAAGCGGUGGAUGAUGUGGAUUAAUUCGAUGCAACGCGAAAAACCUUACCUACCCUUGACAUGUCUGGAAUCCUGAAGAGAUUUAGGAGUGCUCGCAAGAGAACCGGAACACAGGUGCUGCAUGGCUGUCGUCAGCUCGUGUCGUGAGAUGUUGGGUUAAGUCCCGCAACGAGCGCAACCCUUGUCAUUAGUUGCUACGAAAGGGCACUCUAAUGAGACUGCCGGUGACAAACCGGAGGAAGGUGGGGAUGACGUCAAGUCCUCAUGGCCCUUAUGGGUAGGGCUUCACACGUCAUACAAUGGUCGGGACAGAGGGUCGCCAACCCGCGAGGGGGAGCCAAUCCCAGAAACCCGAUCGUAGUCCGGAUCGCAGUCUGCAACUCGACUGCGUGAAGUCGGAAUCGCUAGUAAUCGCGGAUCAGCAUGUCGCGGUGAAUACGUUCCCGGGUCUUGUACACACCGCCCGUCACACCAUGGGAGUGGGUUUUACCAGAAGUAGUUAGCCUAACCGCAAGGAGGGCGAUUACCUUUGGGUGGACCCAAAGAACCG